CGGAUUGUAGUCUGCAACCCGACUACAUGAAGCUGGAAUCGCUAGUAAUCGCGAAUCAGAAUGUCGCGGUGAAUACGUUCCCGGGUCUUGUACACACCGCCCGUCACACCAUGGGAGUCGGAAAUGCCCGAAGUCAGUGACCCAACCGUAAGGAGGGAGCUGCCGAAGGUGGAGCCGGUAACUGGGGUGAAGUCGUAACAAGGUAAC
rnacentral:rRNA from 1 species